rnacentral:rRNA from 1 species
AGUGAACGCUGGCGGUAGGCCUAACACAUGCAAGUCGAACGGCAGCACAGUAAGAGCUUGCUCUUACGGGUGGCGAGUGGCGGACGGGUGAGGAAUACAUCGGAAUCUACUUUUUCGUGGGGGAUAACGUAGGGAAACUUACGCUAAUACCGCAUACGACCUACGGGUGAAAGCAGGGGAUCUUCGGACCUUGCGCGAUUGAAUGAGCCGAUGUCGGAUUAGCUAGUUGGCGGGGUAAAGGCCCACCAAGGCGACGAUCGGUAGCUGGUCUGAGAGGGUGACCGGCCCCAGGGGGACUGAGAGACGGCCCAGACUGCGACGGGAGGCAGCAGUGGGGAACAUUGUACAACGGGCGGGAGCCUGAUGAAGCAACGUCGCGUGCGGGAUGACGGCCUUCGGGUUGUAAAACGCUUUCGCCUGUGACGAAGCGUGAGUGACGGUAAUGGGUAAAGAAGCACCGGCUAACUACGUG